rnacentral:lncRNA from 10 species
GAAUAAACUGAAUGUGAGAUGGCCUCAGAACAUCCAUGCAGAAACGUAAGCAGGCAGUGGAAAGUAAGGGCUAGAGAGAGAUCUGAGUGUUACUGACAUUAGGGUGUAGCUGAAACCCGAGGCAUGGACGACAACGCUUCAGGAGAAAAUCCAGAAUGACGGAGAUGCUGGAGACAGAAGCUGGUACGCAUGAGCACGGAGGGCCAGCCUGACAGAGGAGUGCAGAGGCAGAGAAGGAAAAGGCAGAAAGAAAAACCCAGGAGUGCAUUAUUGCAUGUGGCAACAGUCCAGAAGGGGUAGUGAUCAGUAAGUGAACUGAAAGGGUCAGUAAUCUAAGGGCUAAAAGUACAUCACUUGAAAUGGCAAGCAGGACGUCACUGGUAUCUGAAAGGAAGAGUCUGCACAGAGCAGCAACAACGACGCCAGACUGCGGGGGGUGGGAGGUGCCUAUGAGCUGAGGGUAUCAAGUAGAGACUCUUCAUGAAAGUGUGUAUGGGAAAAGAUGCUCCAGAGGGAAUAAUAAUGAGAAGGGGCUGCAGGGUGCAAGAGUCAGAGGACAAAAUGAGACAAUCUAGGUAAGGGCUUAGCACACUAUCUCGCAUUUACUAAGUGCUCAAUGCACAUAAAGGGCUUUUAUCGCCCAUUCAUUAACUAUAUAAUAAUUUUAAAUUUAAAUGACAAAAAUCAGUCCAAGGAGCCUGCAUACCAGUCGGGGAGAAAAACAAUCAACAAAAUAAAUAAAUUAUAUGG